rnacentral:misc_RNA from 1 species
GAUGAAGAACGUAGCGAAAUGCGAUAAGUAGUGUGAAUUGCAGAAUUCAGUGAAUCAUCGAAUCUUUGAACGCACAUUGCGCCCCUUGGUAUUCCAUGGGGCAUGCCUGUUCGAGCGUCAUUUGUACUCUCAAGCAUUGCUUGGUGUUGGGUGUUUGUCCUAACAAUGGUUGGGACUCGCCUUAAAACAAUUGGCAGCCAGUGUAUUAGACUUGGAGCGCAGCACAAUUUGCGUCUUCUUGCGAAUAAACUGGCAACCAUCAAGCCUAUUUUUCACGCUUGACCUCGGAUCAGGUAGGGAUACCCGCUGAACUUAAGCAUAUCAAUAAGCGGAGGA